UGCCAGCAGCCGCGGUAAUACGGAGGGUCCGAGCGUUAAUCGGAAUUACUGGGCGUAAAGCGCGCGUAGGUGGUUAUUUAAGUCAGAUGUGAAAGCCCUGGGCUCAACCUAGGAACUGCACCUGAUACUGGAUAACUAGAGUACAGAAGAGGGUAGUGGAAUUUCCUGUGUAGCGGUGAAAUGCGUAGAUAUAGGAAGGAACACCAGUGGCGAAGGCGACUACCUGGUCUGAUACUGACACUGAGGUGCGAAAGCGUGGGGAGCAAACAGGAUUAGAUA
rnacentral:rRNA from 1 species